UACAGGGGGUGCAAGCGUUGUUCGGAAUUACUGGGCGUAAAGCGCGGGCAGGUGGCCUUUUAAGUCCUUUGUGAAAUCCCGGAGCUCAACUCCGGAUGUGCAUAGGAUACUGGAAGGCUUGGGACUGGUAGAGGCGAGCGGAAUUCCUGGUGUAGCGGUGGAAUGCGUAGAUAUCAGGAGGAACACCAAUUGCGAAGGCAGCUCGCUGGGACGUUACUGACGCUGAGACGCGAAAGCGUGGGGAGCAAACAGG
rnacentral:rRNA from 1 species